rnacentral:rRNA from 1 species
GAUGAACGCUGGCGGCGUGCCUAAUACAUGCAAGUCGAGCGAACGGACGAGAAGCUUGCUUCUCUGAUGUUAGCGGCGGACGGGUGAGUAACACGUGGAUAACCUACCUAUAAGACUGGGAUAACUUCGGGAAACCGGAGCUAAUACCGGCUAAUAUUUUGAACCGCAUGGUUCAAAAGUGAAAGACGGUCUUGCUGUCACUUAUAGAUGGAUCCGCGUUGCAUUAGCUAGUUGGUAAGGUAACGGCUUACCAAGGCAACGAUGCAUAGCCGACCUGAGAGGGUGAUCGGCCACACUGGAACUGAGACACGGUCCAGACUCCUACGGGAGGCAGCAGUAGGGAAUCUUCCGCAAUGGGCGAAAGCCUGACGGAGCAACGCCGCGUGAGUGAUGAAGGUCUUCGGAUCGUAAAACUCUGUUAUUAGGGAAGAACAUAUGUGUGAGUAACUGUGCACAUCUUGACGGCACCUAAUCAGAAAGCCACGGCUAACUACGUG